rnacentral:rRNA from 1 species
GACGAACGCUGGCGGCGUGCUUAACACAUGCAAGUCGAGCGGUAAGGCCUCUUCGGGGGUACACGAGCGGCGAACGGGUGAGUAACACGUGAGCAACCUACCCUUCACUUCGGGAUAAGCCUCGGAAACGGGGUCUAAUACCGGAUAUCACUCCUUACUUCAUGGUUUGGGGUUGAAAGUUCUGGCGGUGGGGGAUGGGCUCGCGGCCUAUCAGCUUGUUGGUGGGGUAAUGGCCUACCAAGGCGACGACGGUUAGCCGGCCUGAGAGGGCGACCGGCCACACUGGGACUGAGACACGGCCCAGACUCCUACGGGAGGCAGCAGUGGGGAAUAUUGCACAAUGGGCGGAAGCCUGAUGCAGCGACGCCGCGUGAGGGAUGACGGCC